rnacentral:rRNA from 1 species
CAGCCGCCGCGGUAAUACGGAGGGUGCAAGCGUUAAUCGGAAUUACUGGGCGUAAAGCGUGCGUAGGCGGUUCGUUAAGUCUGUUGUGAAAGCCCCUGGCUCAACCUGGGAAUGGCAAUGGAUACUGGCGAGCUAGAGUGUGUCAGAGGAUGGUGGAAUUCCCGGUGUAGCGGUGAAAUGCGUAGAGAUCGGGAGGAACAUCAGUGGCGAAGGCGGCCAUCUGGGACAACACUGACGCUGAGGCACGAAAGCGUGGGGAGCAAACAGGAUUAGAUACCCCAGUAGUCCCUGUCUCUUAUAA